CGUGACGUCAUAAAAGCGACAAACCCUAAAGUCGCUGCACGCUUCGAUUCUUUCCUGUGCAAACAGGUGGCAGUAGCCUACAAACGAUCAUUAGAUUGGUGGUGUCACCUGAUGGGAUCGAGUUUCGUUUUGUCAGUCAGUCAGUCAGAAGUGCAAGUGGCAUUAAAUCGAAGCACGUCACCGAAAGACAAAGGGAGAGCGAAAAACUGUUAUUUCCUGUAACAUCUAGAUGAAUCUGACAGAGGAGACAUGGCAGGCUGACAAGAAUCCCAUGGAGAAUUUGACAGUAAAUAUUAAGGAGGAGGAGGAUAUUGAAUGGGAAGCUGUCCAGCUUGAACAGCAGAGUCUCAGCAUUAAAGAGGAGGAUUAUGAGGUGGAGUCGGUAAUCAUCAAAGAGGAGCCUGAGGAGAUGCCUUUCAGCAUUGGCAUGGAGAAACAUGAGGUGAUAUACAGUGUAAAUGAAGGUGACCUUCAUUCAGAGUCUGUCAGAGUUGAGUUGCCAGCCCAAGCAUUCAACAAGCGCUAAAGGCCCGAUCAAAGGAAAUUCCCGUAGAGAUCAGAAAACAAGUUGUUGCUACCUAUCAGUCUGGAAAGGGCUACAAAGCCACCUCUAAGGCUCUGGGACUACACCGAACCACCGUGAGAGCCAUAAUCUCCAAAUGGAAAAAACUUGGCACAGUAGUGAAUCUUCCCAGGAGUGGCCGGCCUUCCAAAAUCAGUACGAGGGUACAGCAUAAAUUCAUCCAGGAAGUCACAAAUUCCAAGGAACUGCAGCCUUCUGUUGCGUCUGCAAAGGACAAUAUUCAUGACUCCAUAAUCAAUAACAGACAGGGCAAAAGUGGGCUUCAUUAGAAAGUACUAGGCAGAAACAACUGCUGGCCAACAAGAACAUACUCUAAUUGCUUGUGUCUCUUUCACCUGAAAGGACGUGGAUGAUCCCCAAGCCUCUUGGAGGAAUAUUCCACGGACAGAUGAGACAAAAGUGUGUACCAUUGCAUGCGGCUUAAACUAAAACAACUUAACAGCGUUACAUGUAUAGUAAGAACAUCAUGCCUACGAUAACACAUGGGAAUGGUAGUGUAAUGGUAUGGGGAUGCUUUUCUGUCUCUGGACUCGCCAUAAUUGAAGGACCAUGAAGGCUGCUCUGCAUGCAGGAGAAUUUCUUAAGGGGAGUGUCUGUUCAUUUGUCCAUGAGCUGAAGCAGAUUGAGAUGAUGCAGUAAGACGAUGUUCCUGUACAAAAAAAGCAAAUUCAUACCAGACGGGCCAAAAAUAAGAAAAAAAGCAAAAGUUUUGGAUGGGCCAAGUCAUAGCACAGACCAGUCUGCAAUAGACGUGCUGAAGCAGGACCAGAAAAUAUAGCUUCUUAUGAUCAAAAGCCUACUUGCGUUUUUGAAUGAAAACAAAGGAAGAGAGAGCUAAAGUUCCUCCGUAAUGAUGAAAGUCUGACAAAGUCUUUGUAACUGAAGGCGGCACAGCCAGCUUAGUGUAAAGGGGCAAUUACUUUUUCACAGCCCAGCCACUGGCGUUGCAUGCCUUUAUUCUUUCAAUAAAUGACGUAAGAUGUU